UACGUAGGGGGCAAGCGUUGUCCGGAAUCAUUGGGCGUAAAGCGCGUGUAGGCGGCUUCGUAAGUCCGUUGUGAAAGUCAAAGGCUCAACCUUUGAAUGCCGAUGGAUACUGCGGAGCUAGAGUACGGAAGAGGCGAGUGGAAUUCCUGGUGUAGCGGUGGAAUGCGCAGAUAUCAGGAGGAACACCAAUAGCGAAGGCAGCUCGCUGGGACGUUACUGACACUAAGGCGCGAAAGCGUGGGGAGCGAACAGGA
rnacentral:rRNA from 1 species